GGGUUGCUAGCUCAAUGGUAGAGCAGCUGACUCUUAAUCAGUAGGUUCGGGGUUCGAGUCCCUGGCAGCCCACCA
rnacentral:tRNA from 2 species